rnacentral:tRNA from 1 species
UUCCUGGCAGUACAGCAGUUAGGACUCUGCACUUCCACUGCAGGGGGACCAGGUUCAAUUCCUGGUUAGGGAG